ensembl:lncRNA
GGACUUUCAAAGGUGGAGGCAGGCGGAUCUCUGGAGUCCAGCCUGGUCUAUGUAGUGAGUUCCAGGGCAGCCAGGGUUGCAAUGGGAGAGACCCUGUUUCAACUACUCCCCCCAAAGAAAACAAUGUAGACUCUUGUAUACUAAGAUAAAAUAAAAUAAGUUUUAUUAUGGCCAUAAAAGAAAAACACUCUGUUUAUAUAAUAUUUGGAAAAACAAUAAAAAUAUAGAGAAAAACAAACAUCACCUGCAAUAGCAGAGACAUAAGUGCUGUUGAAGUUUUGUCAUGUUUCUUCCUAAAGUUUGUCAUGUUUCCUUCCCCCAUAUAUUGAUACAAAAUUACAUAUGCAAAAUGUUCCCAAUACGCUUAUAUUAUGUAUUCAGGAACAUACUGCAAAAAUAAUUCUGCAUCUUAUUCCUGCUAUAAAAGCAAAACCAUAAUUAAUUAUGGUUAGAUGUGCCACUUCUUUCUUCCAGACUUUUGCUUAUAUAUCGAUACAAAACUAUUUAUGCAAAAUGUUCCCAAUAUAAUUGUAGUACAUAUUAGGAACACAUCGCAAAAACAGUUCAGCAUCUUUCUUUUGUCACUGGUGGUACCACAGCUUGGAGGUAACUGUCUUCAGCCCAUAUGAUUGAUGCAGAACCAUGAAUGCAAAAUGUCCCCAAUAUACUAAUAAUACAUAUUAGGAACACAUCGCAAAAACAGUUCAGCAUCUUGGUUUCCCUCUCUCCUUUCUCUAUCAUUCAACCACACCCCCAAUCCCCAGCAUCUUUGCUCAAUAACAUUAAAGCACAGCUCAGAGAUAACUAUAAUAUCUUGAUGUCUUUCCUCUUAGCCUUAUUGAUCCUAUGCAUGUAAAAAUGAGAAUACAGAGAAGAAAAAUAUUUUGCAUGUUUAUCACUUAACAUUUUAUCAGUGUUUGUGACAUAUCCUUGUGUCACAAAAUUAUUUUCAGAAAUAUCAAUUUCAAUUAAAGCAUGUUAUUCCAUUGUCUUAGAAAAGCCUGUUUUGUUUUUGCAACCCUUUACUGUUAGUCAAUCAUUCAGGAUAGUCCUAAUUUUAUCCUCAAAAUUCCUGAGUGAAAGGAAGGCCUGUAAUCACAGUGAUGUAGGACGCUGAGGCAAAUGAACGACAGAUUCAAAUUCUGCCUGGCCUACAGAGUAACUUUAAAGUGUUUGUGAGCAAAUUAGUUAGAGCUUGUCUCAAAAAUAAAAAUAUAUAGUCACCUAUAAUCCCAAAACUUGGGAAGUGGAAUCAGGAGAAUGAGGAAUUCAAUGUGAGCUUUAGCUCCACCCCAAUCUGGACUACUUAAGACCUUGUCUCAAAAAUAAGCAAGUAAAUAAAUAAAUAGCAAUAAACAUAAUAAGAGAGCAUUCUUUAAAAAUUUGACUUUCUGGUUCCGUGGCUUGUAUAUUUCUUUAUAGCCACUUGUAUGACUCAACAUAUUACAGUUGGUCUUGUGUUUCUAAUGCGUGCAGCUAGUGUUUUUCUUGUUGGUUUGAACAAAAAAAACUUGUUUUAAUAUUUUAACAUAUAUAUCAUGCUAUACAUGUGUGUAUCAUGAUGUGUGUGUGUGUGUGUGUGUGUGUGUGUGUGUGUGUGUGUGUGUGUGUGUAAAAUCAUAUACCCUGUCUAGGCUUCAGUGGACUGAAUAGAAAUGCAAAUUAAUAAAACUUUCAUUAAAGUUGUAUGCAAAUACAACUCCUACCCUCUCCCACUCCAUGGCAACCCCUUUCCUCUUUGAUCAGGCCCACUUGUCAUCUCUUGUAAUACUCACCCCACCUGGUCUUAGGAAGAUGAGUGGUUCCCAGACCUUUCAGUUAUCAAUCUGUCACAAGGGCACAGUGUAUCUCGUGACAUGAUGAUCCCCGAGACGCCUGAGAUCCUUGCAUGCAGAACCUGAAGUUUCUGUAUUUCCCAGGACCCUUAAAGACUUUUCAGAGAGUUACAUUUCACAAUUCAACAACAACAACAACAAAAACCAAAACACAACAAAGCAAAACAACAACAAAACUAAAGAAAGAAAACCAAAACAAAACUUUGGGUGUAAUUCUAGUGGUAAAUGAGUCUUCUUGUUUUGCAAUGUCCCUCCAGUUUCUGCUUCUACUUUCAGCCAGUACAACCUGUGUAAUUCUGUGGCCUUGAUAUUUAAAAACCUGUUAUCUUAAGCAUUUUUCUAAGUUUCUGUGCAGUUUUUAUAAUGUUUAUUUGUAAUGGCUAAAAAGGUUCUAUUGAGGACUCCGCUAAAUUAAUUCCCUAUGGUUGACUCCCUUAGUUUAGUUGAAUGCAUAGAAAGGAGAAAAGAUUUCAAGCGAAUUCGCUUGAAAACUGUUGAGGCUGCACACACUGAAUUGUGCAUGGGUAGGUAGCUUAUAGUCAUUACUUCAUUCUCAGGGCAAUCUUGGGGCUCUAUUAGCAGUUAGGCUCUCACUCAUUUUAGAACUAGGCAGUUUUCCCUAGACCUUUUCUAACCAAACAUACUAGUUGGCUCCAUUUUCUGGUGUAGUCACUAAGGUGUAGGCACAGCAGGAAGUCUCCCAUACAUCCUUCAACCUCCGAAUCCUCGGGUUUCUGGAAACCUUUUCUGCCUUAUUUAUCACAAAGUUAUUGCAAACAACAAAUCUACGAGAGCAGUUGGGAAAAUAGGUGAACAAAGGAAAUAACAGCAAGGGCUGAGAUGAGGCUUGCAAAGAUUUUGUUUCUAGGGGACAAAAAGCUGGCUUUCCCUCAGCAGAGUGGAGGUGGGGGAGGGGUGGCAAAAGCCCAGCAAGGGCACUGCCUCAGGAAAUUCAGGCUGCAAAGCAAGCAGUAUUCCCAGCCCCCUCUUCAGUUCCCACCAGUUGCUCAGAUGACAGAGCUCAAGCGCUUAAGGGGAGUGCUCCAAGACUGAGGGAGCACAGGAGUGGAAGUCUAUAGAGGCUCCUCCCUAAUGACGCAGCUUAAGGCUCUAGCCCUUUUGAACCUGAGAUCAAUUGUAAAGCCAGGAAGGGAAGCAGAUGGGUGAAAUAUUAGGAUAGAGCCAGGGUGUCCUAGCUUGGUGAACAGAUACUAAUGGAUGGUCAUAGGCAAGCUGUACUGACUGGGCCAGGGAGAUACAUAUUUGGCAUGAUUGGUGUAUACGUACUGGGUUUCGUUUAAGAGUUAUGCAAUAAACUCUAAAUAAAGAUGAACAUAUAAACUUCUGGGAUCUUGAGACAUGCUUCUGGCCAAUGGGAAAACAGAUCUCUAGAAAUUAAUGUCAACUUGGUAUAGCCCCUAGUUCGAGUCCUCCAAUCUCUUAUCAUACGCAUGCAUUGUUCUUCCUCAAACAUACUUUUUGAAUCUUAUUUGUAUUUUUCAUCCUACACAGUCUCUCAGGAAAGCUGCCUGUCAAUUAACUUCUGUCUUGUAGAAUCAUGUUUUCCCCAGGAUUCAAGGAACAAACCCAGUCCCUUGCUAUUCCCAUCUCCUCUCCUCGAUGGAUUGACAGGUUAUGGUGUUUUAGUUUACUCAGCAAAAUAAUGUGUACUGCAGAGUCCUUAUUGGGUGUUUGUUUAAUUGGAUAGUUGCCCAUGUUAAUGGAAAUCAAAAGCAACAUACAAUUAUUUAGUCUCCCAGCACUGGAGUACAUCCAAAUGUUUCCCUGUUUAGGAUUCUACUUUUGUCCUUGUCUGUGUGUACGAGUAAAUGCUUUAGAGUUACAACCACUACCUUUUUCUGUGGCCCUGGUGAUUGGCAUCUAGUUUUUCCAAGUAACAUUGACACACAUCUGUUCAAGUCAAUUGAUGCUCCUCUCAUGACUGACUCAUUUGGUGGGAAAAGCAAGUUAACAUGCCAACUGGAACAAAGGUGCCUGGAUUGGGGGAACAGCAGUAAGAAUGAAAUGGUGGGACCGGAUUCUCUGACUUACAGAUCGUAAAACACUUUCCAGUAAGAAUUUUAAAAGACAUAUAAUAUUACACUAGUGAUUGAUUAUAUCUUAACCCCCAGCUGUGAGGCUGUCAAUAUCUAGUGUGGUAAAAUGCAUAUACAUUUCAGUGUUUGGAAGAUGAUCGUACUUUCUUGAAAGGAGUCUUCUGUGUUCAUCUCCCCAAGAUUGUUGAUGUAGUAGUGGUCACUUUUUGGAAAAAAAGAAAACAAAACCAAACCAGUACUGCUAACUGAAGAUGCCUUCAGAAUGAUUCCUGUUAUUAAAAUUGUUACAAAAUUAUGCUCAGUUCUAGUGUAUCAUAAUAACCUGAAUGCCAUGUCCUAGAACUUAUAGAAAUUUGGAUUCUCGAAGUUUAUAUUUAGAGCCAGGCUAAGCUUUUCAAAGUUUUAAGAGCCAUGUCUGUCUAAUAAACUUUAUACAAUGCCACGUGCACACAGCUUCCUCACUAACAAAUAACAUGUGUUGGGGCAAAAGAUGAGAAACCAAUGGAGAGGUGCCUCUUUGAAUGUGGUAAUGGAGGGUCAAUUAAUCAGCCGACUCUAAAUUGAAUCACUUUAUACAAGUCUCCCACACAUUAUGGUGCACAUUUAGCAAUGUUUGAAAAAACAAUUUAAAAGAAUACCUUAGGGAGUUGUUAAAGAGAAUUUAUAGUCUGGAACGAAUUGCCAUCUUCUUAAUUGACAUAGAAGUGUUUGGCGAAAAUAUUGCUUUAUUCACAUUUUUGCCCUUGGAGGAAAAACUAGCCACACCAUAAUUGAGCAAAUAAAGGUGCGAAGAGCAUUUCUAAUAAGAAAAGGGCACCACGCAGUCAGGCGCUGUGUAGAUGAGCUCAAUUUUGGCGCCCUUGGGCACCUUGGGCAAAGGACAUCUUGGAUUCUGGAAGGCAAUGGCCCUAAAUCCGGAUCAUUUGCUCCCCUGCUCUCUGCCUCAACCCGCCUGAAUCUCACCUGAGUCCUGCAGGCACCCACUGGAAGAAGCCGGAUGGCGCGGGUUGGAUCCUUCUGGAUGGGUGGGCGCCUUCAAUGCACCCCGGGGCUCUUCCUCUGGUUUGAGGGAAAAGCCUGUUGAACAGCGGAAAGGGAGAAGGGAAGCUGGUGAGGGAGAGUAAGGAGUCUCAAACUGCCCCUCCUCCAAUCCAUUGCAUAGGAACGCGGAUGCCUGAACCUGUUAGCCAUUUGCCCUGGGGAUUCCGGGACAGAGGGGCCCUGCCACGGGGCGCGGGGUGGGGCAGAAGCUGGGGGCGUGGCUUCAAAAAGUGGAAGGGGGAGAUGGAGACAAGGCUUGGCCGAAGUCCAGAGGGCUCUUGGUGCUCCUGGGAUCCCGGGGGUCCUUGGGGGCCCAAAGGAACCUAAACCACCUCCCACACAUUGCUCAAGCGCAAGGGAGUCUGGGAGAAAGGCAUUUGUUGGCUAGAGCUAGACUCCCAGGCGCACAAGGCCUCCUCUAACUGUAAAUUUUAUGGGGGCCGGGGCCCAGUCCCUGGGGAAGAUCACUACAAGGUAGCUCAUACAGACCAGAAGGGUGUGUGUAUGUGUAUUUUAUUUUUUUAAAGAUGACAAAGCAAAGAGAUUUCGCCCCACCCCAUUUUCCAAUACUCCUUUACAUUCCCAUGCUCCAGACAAUAUAAAGUGAUUUUCACAGGAAAAGUAAGGCCUUGCUCAUUUAAUUAACACUCUUCUCCAGUUCCCAGGUGACUCUUGGACCUCUUUUUCUCACUGCAGGCUCAAAGGGCUCCUCUAGGAACUGGAGGUAGCACGAGAGGACUAUAGAGGUGCCCUGGUCAUUAGUCACAGCACGUAGCUGUGGUGCUGCUUGCCAUUUUCUUACAGCCUGUCAAUACUAAGCUUCCAGGCAGUGACAAGGGUGUCCCUUGAGUCCCUGCUGCUAGGGUAGACUUGUGUGAUGACUUUGGGAAAUGAGGACUAAGAGGGUCUAGAAAUGUAGCACGUCACUCUGUUAGGGCUCCUCACUGUGUCAUCUGGGGUUCACCACCACCAAGGCUAGGUGCUUCUUUUGGAUGCCUGAGAUCCAGGGACACCCCCACUAGCACAGCUGUGGGACCCUUAAUCUUUCCUGACCCCUAAAGUCCUUUUUUAUACAGUACCUAAGCUCCUUCAGUAGGAACUGCAGAGAGAAAUGGGGAUUGCUUCAAGUCACCCUUCUGACCACUUUCGGACCCCUUCAUAUUCCUUUGCGGGAACCCCCUCCCAUCUUGUUGUUGAGGACUGAAGACAAACUUUAUUCAUUGCUGUCCUGCGGGUGGUAUUCUACUAGGUGAUCGGGAAGUGCUUUCUUUCCAGUCGGUUCAGUUUUACCUGGGCAGGGAAUGAGGUGCUAACAACAAAGUUUCUGUCACACCCAGUCACAUAUUCACAGAUGGGCAAAUGUUUCACGGAAGACAAACACAAAAGCUCUAGUCUGGAGCUGUUCUGGAGUCUUGCUCCCCUUGGGGCCUACGCUGCAGGCGAUGGACUGAAACUUACCUGGUGGGUGUGCCCAUGUGUUAGUCCCAGACUUACCCGAGCAGCGGAAACAAUACUCCAGCUUACCAAAUACUGCAGUACUGUUUUGGACGCUGCUAGGGCACGACUGAGUGUGGUGGGCUGAGCGCAGGCUACCUUGUCCCUCCUCCAAGUGCAUGGCCAUCUUGCUUAGCAGUCACCCCCUCCCAGGCCCUUGAACAGUGUAGAGUGGCCCUUACUAGACUAAGGCCCUGUCCUGAAUGAAGAGACAGACAAGCCCCUGCCCGCCCACCUACCUGCUUUGGGGCUUUUUUAGGAGAACCCACACGGGUCUGUUCUGCAGGCCCCCACCUUCUAAGUUCCCCGCGAAGGGGUGUUGCAGCGCUUCAUGUUUUGAACCUUUACAAUACUCCAAAACAUGAAUUGCUGCUGCAUCCCUUCGGAGUAAGCAAAGGUGGGGGUCGCUCAGGGUACCUGCGAAUGAAGAAAGUCUCCGUGAGUUGAAGGGAGCCUCUCCUUGCCCUGCCCCCUGGUGAAAAUUAAGUACAAUGUAUGCUUCUUAGGACUUAUGACUGGAAGAUGAUGGACUUUUUAUAAGCCAGUUCUUCUUACGACUUUGUCAGAUUUCCAGGAUCUGCUGGUGAGGUGCAGGGUGUGGCUUUCACACCUCCUCACCAUGAACAUUGGGAAAGUGUAUUGGUGGAAAGCAGGGCUAUGGCAGAUAAUGGGGUAGGGAGACUCUUACCUCAGAAAGUAGAUGAAAAGUGAGAUUAAUUAAAUUGAGACAAUUUGGUAACAUCUGGAUCACUCUUGCCAGCUCCAAAGUCUCGGUGAAACUUCCUGCUGCAUUGUAUAAGUGUCAUUUAUUGUCCCCAGUUUGGGGUCAUUUAUUGGAAUCAAUGUAAGGAACUUUUGAUUUAAAAAAACCCUCUGGGUGACCAGUUGCUUUUAACUUAUGGCUAGUAGUUUCCUCCAUUCUAACAGUAAACACCUUGUCUGCCAUUAGUUAUAAGGACAAAGCAUGAGAAUGUUCUAGAUUGAAACCCCUAGAUGUCUUCAUACAUUGCUGGUUACUCAAACUACUUUAUAAAUAAUUGACAUUUAUCAAUGUCACUUAUCAAAUCACAAAUCAACAACUUUAAGUACUUGAUGUUAAAAUGGCUCCUUCUCAAGCAACUCCACAGAAACUCAUUUCUUGAAAUGGCCGGCACUGUUCAGGCCCCCCCCCUCUUGAUUUUCAAAAUGGACACCGGAGCAAUAAAUUACAUUCAUUCAUUUCCUUUUGCUUAAACAAAACAUUCAAGAAAGCACAAACCAAAAAAAUCCUUCACUACUUAACCACAAACCUAAUAAUUAAAACAAUAAAACUAUAGUGCCUUUGAAAGUAAAAGUACAUUCUGUAUACAUAAACAAAGAUUUAAUGUCGCCAAAUUUCCUUAUUUUCAUUUAAAAUUAUGUCAGAUUUUCAAAACUACUACAAUGAAUGCUGGGUCCUACUAAUUAAUUAACUAAUUAAUUAAAUAUACAGAGUAUGUAAUUAAACUAAGUACAAAAUUCCUAACACAACAGAUUGUGAUCCAGCGCUAACAAAUGCACUGAUAAUAAAGCCAUAAGGUCAUGAUAAAUAAAGUCAUUAAUAAUAAUAGCCCCACUCCUUAAGUUGGAACGAGUUUCUAAAUCCCAGCUUGUCUUGGCUAUAUUACAAAUCAUUUUCUCAUGGACACGGAAUGGAGGAAAAAAACCAUCGGUGGUCGCCCUUAAAAAGAGAGAGAGAAAAAAACAUGUUUAGUAAAGGCAUAAUUAUACUUUAAAGAUACAUAACUUUCUCCCAAUUUAAUUUUAUGUUCCACAAAAAUAUGUUAGAGUAAAGCCAAUCCUAAUUUAGCAUUUCCUUAAUUGACUAGUCAAAAAAAAAAAAAAAACCAAAAAUAUCAUCAACCUCAAAGACGAAGGUCCUUCUAGAUCAUUUUGAUAACGAAUACACCGGAACCAAAUUCAUCUAUACAUUUUACUUCACCCAUUUCUUUUCUUCCAGGGACUCUACAACGACUUAUAUCUGUCAAGAGCCAUCUGACUCCCCCUGUUUAUGUAUUUCCCCUUGGGCUGAACUUUACUUACUAAAGAAGAACACAAAGAAGCGUCUGGUCACUUCUGGAGAGGGUCAUUCGCUGAUACAAUAGACAAAGAAUCAAUACUUUAGAGUUGCCAUGGCCCCACCCCCUUCAGAACUGCGAUGUGUUUGGCCAAAUGAUUUAAGAGCCAAAGAAUACGCCUCUUCCUCUCUUCCCAGUUGAGAACGUUUUGUCUUUCAAUGUCGCAGAUGUGUGCGCCCCCACACCCAAAACGCACGAUGUACACGUCCUCCGCACCUUCGAGCCAAACUUUUCCAAUGUCGAGUUUCAUACUGGAAAAGCUAAACAACCUUGAAAAGUUUUAGUUAGCGAGAGAAAUAUACAAUGAAUUUUACAUUUCUUUCCAGGGCAGUCUUCGCUGCUUACAAAUGAGAGAGUUGCCUGAAGUCCAUUUACAGUCUGUCAAAAGCAGUCGCUCCCCACCCUGGCGGGGCUGACAGCAGGCCAUUGCCCCUCACUCACUUUUCUCUCCUGCCCCUCCCUGUUCACCCUUCUCAGUCUAUUUUCUGACCCCCCCACUCUUUCCGCCCCCACCCCACCCAGAGCGACACAGAACUUUUUCCCCCCAAAUUAUCCCCGAAUUGAAUCUGUUACAGACUCACUGUUACAGAGUCAUAGUUGGGCGGGGGGGGGGGGGGGAGGCCAGCCAAAAGUUUCCUUCCCCCUGUUUUUUUUUUUUUUUUUUUUAAGAUCGCAAGUCACCUCUCACUCCACUCGAAAAUGGCGCCGAAAUCGUAGAACUUCUUAAAUUUCAUUGUAAGCUUUCUGCAAAGGUUUCUGGGAUUUUCCUGCGAAGUUGCUCUGCCAAGUCGAGCUAGCGAACAAGCCGGCAGAGCGGGUGAGAGGAAGGAAAAGGAGGGUGGGGAGGCAGACAGACAGACCUACUGACAGAUGGAGAGCGAGAAAGGGCGGAGGACUGCGACGGGGUUGUGGGGUUAGAAGAGCGGGCACAGGGACUUGGGAGCGCGCGAGGGGCGAUCUGGGGGUCGAGGCGCGGAGCUCCGAGGCGUCUGCUGGAGAAGAACAGGAGCCGGACUGGUGCAGGGCUGGAGCUGGGCUGGUGCAGGGCUGGAGCCGGGCUGGAGCUGGGCUGGAGCUGGGCUGGAGCUGAGCGCACCCCAAGAGGCGAGCAGGAGCAGCCAGCGCCCAGUGGCCCGCAGCAGCCCUAGAAAAAGC